UGGGGAAUAUUGCACAAUGGGCGCAAGCCUGAUGCAGCCAUGCCGCGUGUGUGAAGAAGGCCUUCGGGUUGUAAAGCACUUUCAGCGAGGAGGAAGGUGGUGGACUUAAUACGUUCAUCAAUUGACGUUACUCGCAGAAGAAGCACCGGCUAACUCGNNGCCAGCAGCCGCGGUAAUACGGAGGGUGCAAGCGUUAAUCGGAAUUACUGGGCGUAAAGCGCACGCAGGCGGUUUGUUAAGUCAGAUGUGAAAUCCCCGGGCUCAACCUGGGAACUGCAUUUGAAACUGGCAAGCUAGAGUCUCGUAGAGGGGGGUAGAAUUCCAGGUGUGGCGGUGAAAUGCGUAGAGAUCUGGAGGAAUACCGGUGGCGAAGGCGGCCCCCUGGACGAAGACUGACGCUCAGGUGCGAAACGCGUGGGGAG
rnacentral:rRNA from 1 species